rnacentral:tRNA from 1 species
UGGUAGUCGCGGGCUGGUAUGCCUGACUUCGGCUGAUAACCGAAGCCCGCUGAGUUCGAUUCUCAGGACUACCAG